CAAGCUCUUUGAAUCCGACCCAAUUUUGCCUGCAAGCUGUAAUGGCUAUGGCGAUUGGGCGAUAGGGCCAAACUGGAAACGGGUUGACCUCCCGUUCUCGAAGAUAUCGAGAACAUUUUUGGAAAGGAGAAAAAGAUGUUUAACA
rnacentral:ncRNA from 2 species